AUUGAACGCUGGCGGCAUGCCUUACACAUGCAAGUCGAACGGCAGCACGGGAGCAAUCCUGGUGGCGAGUGGCGAACGGGUGAGUAAUACAUCGGAACGUGCCCAGUAGUGGGGGAUAGCCCGGCGAAAGCCGGAUUAAUACCGCAUGAGACCUGAGGGUGAAAGCGGGGGAUCGCAAGACCUCGCGCUAUUGGAGCGGCCGACGUCAGAUUAGCUAGUUGGUAGGGUAAAGGCCUACCAAGGCAACGAUCUGUAGUUGGUCUGAGAGGACGACCAGCCACACUGGGACUGAGACACGGCCCAGACUCCUACGGGAGGCAGCAGUGGGGAAUUUUGGACAAUGGGCGCAAGCCUGAUCAAGCAAUGCCGCGUGCAGGAAGAAGGCCUUCGGGUUGUAAACUGCUUUUGUCAGGGAAGAAAUCUUCUGGGCUAAUACCCUGGGAGGAUGACGGUACCUGAAGAAUAAGCACCGGCUAACUACGUGCCAGCAGCCGCGGUAAAAC
rnacentral:rRNA from 1 species